rnacentral:tRNA from 1 species
GCACCAGUUGUCUAGUGGUAGAAUAGUACCCUGCCACGGUACAGACCCGGGUUCGAUUCCCGGCUUCCCGGCUGGUGCA